GAUUUCUGGCUCGUCACCCUAGCCCGCUUGCUUCGGUGGGUGAGUGCUGGUGUGAUCUGCCAUCCUUCCAGAGAGCCGCGAGUACCAUUUACUUGGCUGCUCGUGUUUGCGAUCUGGAUCAUUUACUUUGAAAAAAUUAGAGUGUUUAAAGCAGGCUUACGCCUUGAAUACAUUAGCAUGGAAUAAUAACAUAGGACUUCGGUUCUAUUUUGUUGGUUUCUAGGACCUUAGUAAUGAUUGAUAGGGAUAGUUGGGGGUGCUAGUAUUCAGCGGCCAGAGGUGAAAUUCUUGGAUUCGCUGAAGACUAACUACUGCGAAAGCAUU
rnacentral:rRNA from 1 species